AACUUUUAGCAACGGAUCACUAGGCUCUUGCAACGAUGAAGAACGCAGCAAAGUGCGAAAAGUGUUGCGAUUUGCGCGAAUCUAUGAGUCAUCUAAUCUUUGAACGCGAAUGGCACUGCUAUGUAAGUAGCAGUAUGUCUGUUUGAGAAUCGCAAAACACGAUCAACUCUAGUUAAGAGUUGGGAUUGACCUCAUAUGCUCUCUAGCAGCAUAUCUGGUUUGAAUGUAUUAAGUUGAUGAGCUUCCCAACAUUGCUCAAUGUGUGCUAGCGAGACAGUCGUCCCGAUCUCACAUUACAGUUUUGUUGCAAGGUUCUAUGCACAGCUUUUUAUUUAUUUUAUUUAUCAAGUACGAUCUCAAAUCAGGCAAGAUUACCCGCUGAACUUAAGCAUAUCAAUAAGCGGAGGCU
rnacentral:misc_RNA from 1 species